ensembl:lncRNA
AUGGGUGGCCCCGAGGGGGGUGGGGGAGGGGCUCAGGGGGGUGGGGGAGGGGCUCAGGGUGGGGGAGGGGCCGAUGGCCACGCCCCCGCCCCGCCCCCCCCGCGCCGCGCGCUGCGGCCCCGCCCCCGCCCCGAGAGCCCCGACAGUGAUGGUGAGGGGGGGGAGGGGAAUUUGGGGGGAUUUUGGGACUUUUGGGGGGGGAUUUGGGGAUAUUUUGGGGGGAUUUGGGGGGGAUUUGGGAGAUUUGGGGGGAUUUUGGGGGGCAUUCGAGGAUAUUUUUGGGUGGUUUGGGGGGGUUUGGGGGGAUUUGGGGGGAUUUUGGGAAAAUUUGGGGGGAUUUGGGGGAUUUUUGGGGGGUUUAAGGACAUUUUGGGUGAAUUUUGGGGGGAUUUUGGGGGGAUUUUGAGGGAUUUUGGGGGGAUUAUGGGGGGGUUUGGAGGGAUUUUGGGGGGAUUUAGGGGAUUUUUGGGAGAUUUUGGGAUAUUUGGAGGGAUUUUAGGACAUUAUGGGGGAUUUGGGGACUUUUUGGGGACAUUUGGGGACAUUUUGGAGGUUUGGGGACAAUUUGGGGGGAUUUCAGGGAGAUUUUGGGGGAUUUGGGGACAUUUUGGGGGGAUUUGGGGGGGUUUUGGGGGAUUUUGGGGGGAUUUGGGGAUUUUGGGGGGUUUUGGGGAUAUUUUGGGGGGUUUGGGGGGAUUUUGGGGGAAUUUGGGGGGAUUUGGAGGGAUUUUGGGGGGUUUGGGGACAUUUUUGGGGGAAUUUGGGGACAUUUUGGGGAGGUUUUGGGGAGAUUUUGGGGGAGUUUGGGGACAUUUUGGGGGACUUUCGGGGAGGGUUUUGGGGAGGUUUAGGGAGGUUUGGGGGGGGUUGGGGAGAUUUGGGGGAUUUUGGGGACAUUUUAGGGGGUUUAGGGGGAUUUUGGGGAGGGUUUUGGGGGAUUUUGGGGGGGCUUGGGGGGGUUUAGGGACAUUUUGGGGACAUUUUGGGGAAAUUUGGGAUAUUUUUGGGGGGUUUAAGGACAUUUUGGGGGGAUUUGGGGAAAUUGUGUGGGAUUUGGGGAUAUUUUGGGGGGUUUUGGGGAUAUUUUGGGGCGUUUGGGGGGGUUUGGGGGGGAUUUGGAGGGGUUUGGGGGAUUUUGGGGGGGAUUUUGGGGGAUUUGGGUGGGUUUGGGGUCAUUUUGGGACAUUUUGCGGGGAUUUUGGGGGCAUUUGGGGUCAUUUGGGCACAUUUUGGGGACAUUUUGGAGGGUUUUGGGGACUAUUUGGGGGGAUUUGGGGAGAUUUGGGAACAUUUUGGGGAAAUUUUGGGAACGUUUUGGGGCCAUUUUGGGACAUUUUGUGGCCAUUUUGGGGACAUUUGGGGACAUUUUGGGGACAUUUUGGGGACAUUUUGUCUCCCCAAAAUAUCCCCAAAACCCCCCAAAUCCCCCCAAACCCCCCAAAUUCCCGCUCUGACCCCGCCCCUCCCCCCGCAGAGGCCCCGCCCCGUUCUGGCCCCGCCCCCCCGCUGCGGCCCCGCCCCCUCCAACCACUGCUGCAGCUGCGGGCCCGGCGGAGGCAGCAGCAGGUGGGGGAGGGG